AUUGAACGCUGGCGGCAGGCCUAACACAUGCAAGUCGAACGAGUGGCGGACGGGUGAGUAAUGUCUGGGCAACCGCCUGAUGGAGGGGGAUAACUACUGGAAACGGUAGCUAAUACCGCAUACCAUCGGAUGUGCCCAGAUGGGAUGAGCUAGUAGGUGGGGUAACGGCUCACCAAGGCGACGAUCCCUAGCGGGUCUGAGAGGAUGACCGGCCAAACGGGAACUGAGACACGUCCCGGACUCCUACGGAAGCAAGAAGUGGGGAAUAUUGCACAAUGGGCGCAAGCCUGAUGCAGCCAUGCCGGGUGUAGGUAGAAGGCCUUCGGGUUGUAAAGUACUUUCAGCGGGGAGGCGUUACCCGCAGAAGAAGCAACGGCUAACUCCGUGCCAGCAGCCGCGGUAAUUC
rnacentral:rRNA from 1 species